GACGAACGCUGGCGGCGUGCCUAAUACAUGCAAGUUGAGCGAUGAAGAUUGGUGCUUGCACUAAUUUGAAGAGCAGCGAACGGGUGAGUAACGCGUGGGGAAUCUGCCUUUGAGCGGGGGACAACAUUUGGAAACGAAUGCUAAUACCGCAUAACAACUUUAAACAUAAGUUUUAAGUUUGAAAGAUGCAAUUGCAUCACUCAAAGAUGAUCCCGCGUUGUAUUAGCUAGUUGGUGAGGUAAAGGCUCACCAAGGCGAUGAUACAUAGCCGACCUGGGAGGGUGAACGGCCACAUUGGGACUGGGACACGGCCCAAACUCCUACGGGAGGCAGCAGUAGGGAAUCUUCGGCAAUGGACGAAAGUCUGACCGAGCAACGCCGCGUGAGUGAAGAAGGUUUUCGGAUCGUAAAACUCUGUUGGUAGAGAAGAACGUUGGUGGGAGUGGAAAGCUCAUCAAGUGACGGUAACUACCCAGAAAGGGACGGCUAACUACGUG
rnacentral:rRNA from 1 species